GGACGGCAGAAACAGCUCUCCAGCCUUCCUUUCUCAAGAGUGGUCCAGCGGUCCCUUUGGGGCCAAGCCUCCUCUGGACAACCUUGGCCAACCCUAGGGCCAGGGAGCCAAGCUCUGAGAGCCUCCCCCUCCUCCAGGAGCUGCUGCUGCUGGGCAGCGAGCCUGGAUCCUCCAUGCCGCCAAGACUGGCUCUCUCUACAGCCCUAACUUGCUGCGCAUGGACAGGACAGGGCGUCCUCCAGGAACCCCCCAGACCCUGGCCCUGGACAGUGUCACUUAGCUCUCUUUUAUGAUGACACUAAGAAGCAGGCCCCAAGUCGUCUAUCCCGGCCCCCGAGUCUCUCUUCGGUGGGCAGCGACACAGCUACUCUGGAAAAGUUCUCAGCCGGCAGCAUAGCCCCCGGAGGUGAGCAGUUCAGGGACCAAGUGAUGCCUGAUAAAGGUGACGGCCUUCAAAGGCCGCCUUAGCAAGACCCAAGCAUUCCUGCAUACUCUUGCCUACUUUCCAGACGACCUUGACCUCUAAGAGGCCAGGGUCCUAGUCACUAGGUGCACUCUCAAGCUUACGGAGACCUACGUGUCUCUUGCGCCCCACCCCGGGUGGAAACCGCCGAGGCAAAUGGCCAAGAAAGGGAGCAAGCUGGGGCACGUAAGGGGCGGAGGCCAAGGUCGCCCCCGCUUGGACUGAAUCCGGAAUCCCAGCGGAUCCCAGACCUGGUCCAGCGGUCUGGGCAGAGGUCGGAGGGAGGACUGGGGUCACUCACUACUCCGGGUCACACUACUGGGCCCACGUGCAGGCUGGGAGGCAGCUACAGGAUGAGGCGGAGAUGCCGGGACCCAGGGGAUCUUAUCGGACCAGUCCCGGGCUUCUGACUUCGUUGGAUCCCGCCCCGCAUAGUUGGCUGAAGGGCGCUGAGCCGAACAUGCGGCUAGCUAGGAGGGCGCUCCCAGCCCGGGCAGACCAGGACUUUGCGUACCUCGCCCGGUGCCUACUGGCCGCUUCCGAACGCAACCGACGCCAGCGCCUCUCCAGGAUCCCAGGUGGCCUCCCUAGCCCGGAGCAGCCCCACCUUGGAGCCUCGGGACGCACCCGCGUGGGCAGCGUGGCGAGCUUAGCGACCCGCCGCGCAUCCCAAGACGAGCUGCGCGCCCGGAUCCUUGUACACUACGGGGUGUGGCUCUGCGCCAGGGGCCUGGAGGCGAAGGCGGACGGCGGGUGAAUACUCACCGAAGUACACGGUCUUGUCACACUUGGGACACUUGGAGGCCAUGGUCGCACGGUGCGCUCGGUCCGUCCGCGCCCUCCACCCGCGCUGGUCUCUCCUCCGCCGCCCGCGCCUGCCCCGCCCGCCCCGGACGCCGAUUGGCUCCGAGGCCUGGGCGGGGCCUCUGGAGCCCGCCCCCCGGGACGCCAGCAGCUGGGCGCAGGGCAGGCGGGGCGCACCUGCCGCGGUCGGAGGGGCCGGGCCUGGCGCCCCCUACCCCACAGUGAGGCGGCGUCUACAGGGAUCGCCCGAGGUUUCCGUGGCAACAUCGUGGCCUCUAGCUGGAGAGCAGACUUGGGGGUCCCCAGCUCCAGGCCCGGACGCCCCGGCUGGCUCAUGGCGGGAGGGGGCGCGAGAAACCCGGGGAGGGGACGCCCCUCCACUCCCGCCUCCCGGCGCCGCCUCCCUUUGUUGCCUCGUUUCCAUAGCAACGGUCUCGCAGCACAGAAGCUCGAAGCAUCGGAUUCCGGGCGGGGCGCCUCGGUCCUGUCUGUGGUGCUGAAGGAGGGGCGGGCGAGGCUCGCCUAGUAAGCGCCGCCACUUCCAAAAACAGCCCGAGAAACCACUGGGAGGAGUGGGGGCGGGGUGGAGCCAGCCGGCGCUGGCCCUGAGGGGGCCCGCAGGUGCACUUGCGCCCUGCGGGUCCUCCCCAGUUAUAUCCUUGGAGAAGUGGGGUACCUACGAGUUUCCUCGACAUGAAGUGUUUGUGAGCUAACUCCCCAUCUGUGAGCACCCCAAGCUCAUGACUGCUGCCGGGCUUUCUGGGCCCCGGGUCUGGCAGAAUUCUGGAUCCAAGGCAUGUUGCAGGGUGGCAGAGCCAGAAAUCCUGCUAGCCAGAUGCUGUCUCCCACCUGGCUAGUCCUCACGAACAGUUCCCCUCCCAUUCCUCCUUCCCAUUAGGGGCAUGUUUAGCUAUUCCUACUUCCCGAUUCCAUCCUGGAACUCCUGGUGAUAUGGACCGAAGAGGAAGCAGGGACCCACAGGCCUCUCUCUGAGCCUUGGGUCUGGAAAACAAACACCCUAUAUAUCCCUAACCCUGACGACCUGACGCGGUAUGGGCAACUGACUCCAGAAACGCCAUCUGCCCAGCCUUCACCGCUGUGCUGAACACCCGUAUUUCAUUUCUCGGCUCAGCCCAAGGACCGGGAGCCAAGUGACCCCAGGUGCCAGGCUUGUUGGUGAUCCCUGGCCUACUACUAUGGCUCCAUGUGGUGGCCCCUCCUCCUUCCUUGCAACAUAUCCCGCAGCUACUGCCAUUUCCAUGGUGACAACAGCCCAGAAACAUGUGCCGCCCCCCUCCAAGCCUGACUGACCAGCCUGACCAGCUCCCCCUGGGCACCUCUGAGCACAUGCCAGCCAAGAGGCAGCCAGAGGAAGACACACAGCUCAAGACACACUUGCUUUGUUUCUAAAUGGACACGGGAGCUGAGGUCCUGAGGGAAGUUGAGGAUACCAGGACGGCCCUGGAAACUGUCUUCUGAGAGGGGCCCUCUCGCCCUUGGGUUUGUCUUGGCCAGGACCUAGGAAUGCCUCGUUCCCCAGCCUGACUCCCGAAAAGGAGAGCCUUUGGGGAAAGACGCUGUGCCUGAGGAUAAGGGAACUAUGUCCGCAGGGGCUUCAUCUGCACCACCCCCCUGCAGACUCCCACAUGGAAGGACUCGGGAGGUCCUAGAGCAGCAGGACAAAGGCAGAGACCAGGAUCAACCGGGAGAAGCAGCUCAAUGACCCUACAAAGAUGGGGUAUGUGUCACAGCCCUGUCCUGGACACCUGGCCUGCCACCCUGAUAAGCCCCAUCACAGGCGCAGGAAAGCCAAGAUACCCCCUUAUCUGUACCCAGAGUGGGAACCUAAGUGGCUUCUAUUUUAAUCCCCCAUCUGAGAGUCCCACAGAUCGCAGGCGCCUGAGUAGGGCGGAAGUGGGAGGCAGAGGCCAAAAGUGCCCAGUGUCCAGGGAGGGGCUGGCUGACCCUCUCUCCGCCAGCUGAGAGGCCUGAGGGAUGAGGGCUUGUAGAGCCAGCCCUCCUCCUCCUGGUAGCUGGCCAGACCCGCACCUGUCCCAGGGCCAGCAAGGAGAGGCACAGGCAGAGAUAAGAUUUCUGAGCAGAAAUACGAGCAAAUGCUUGAGAAAAGUAACCUGCUGGGUAGUGCGGCUUAGUUCAGGAGGCCUGACAGCUGGACAAGGGAUCAGUCCAGGGAAGGGGGUGGCCCAGGACCUGAAGUCUUCGUGCCAAGUCAACCUAGGUAAACCUAAAGGUUGCGGGGCCUCAGGUAGGGUCAGCUCCCAUUGUGCCAUGUGACAGUUACAGCACGAGGUCCUCGCCACGGCCAGUCAGCGCCCCGCCGCCCCUAUGGGAAGGGCAGCGGGCACUGGGCCAAAGGUCUCGGAACUUUGCACUCCACCGGCACUGAGCUGGGUGGCACCUGGCUUCCUGCGGCUACUGCCCAUCUUUCUGGGCCUAGCCAGGGACCUGCCAAGGGAUACUCCAGGUGUUGGGGGCAGGGCGGCUUCAAGGCCCUAAACCAGGAGAGGGACCAGGAACAAAAGACGCAGAAGGGUUUGCUGGGGUUUUCCUUUUUAUGAGAUUUUUUUCUUUGUUUUUGUUUAAUAUGAAAAUUACUUGAAAAGACAAGGGACCAACCCCGCCAGGCAGCUUGGCCGCUGCUGGCCGCACCAAUCCUAACAUUCCAGGUGUAAGUUACAGAGCUCAAGUUCAUCUACAAAAAAAGUAAUAAAAAUAAAAUUUAAAAUGGCACCUUCAACAGAACACAACGAAACCUCAGAGCCCACCCCGGGUGAGAAGGCCUGCAGCACAGGGGCCCAGGGCAUUCCUCAUCUCUGCUCCAGCCAGAAAGUAAACACAAAGCUAAAAGA